rnacentral:rRNA from 1 species
GGAAGGGGUGUAUUUAUUAGAUAAAAAACCAAUGCCCUUCGGGGCUCCUUGGUGAAUCAUAAUAACUUAACGAAUCGCAUGGCCUUGCGCCGGCGAUGGUUCAUUCAAAUUUCUGCCCUAUCAAUUUUCGAUGGUAGGAUAGUGGCCUACCAUGGUGGCAACGGGUAACGGGGAAUUAGGGUUCGAUUCCGGAGAGGGAGCCUGAGAAACGGCUACCACAUCCAAGGAAGGCAGCAGGCGCGCAAAUUACCCAAUCCCGACACGGGGAGGUAGUGACAAUAAAUACUGAUACGGGGCUCUUUUGGGUCUCGUAAUUGGAAUGAGUACAAUCUAAAUCCCUUAACGAGGAACAAUUGGAGGGCAAGUCUGGUGCCAGCAGCCGCGGUAAUUCCAGCUCCAAUAGCGUAUAUUAAAGUUGUUGCAGUUAAAAAGCUCGUAGUUGAACCUUGGGUCUGGCUGGCCGGUCCGCCUCACCGCGAGUACUGGUCCGGCUGGACCUUUCCUUCUGGGGAAUCUCAUGGCCUUCACUGGCUGUGGGGGGAACCAGGACUUUUAC